GAUCCUCCAAUUAGCAUAAUACAUUUUAUCUCACAACACUAUUACUCAAAUAAUAAAUUAGCUAACAUUUAGCCACAUAAUUAAACAUUGCAUAAUUCUUUAACUCAUUAGUAAUAUUAUUAUCCCUUAAUAAUAUUACUAUCACUUAACCAUUAUCUUAAACUUUUGUCUAAUAUUUUUAAUCAUUUAAUAGAAUAUUUA
rnacentral:lncRNA from 1 species